UACGUAGGGGGCAAGCGUUGUCCGGAAUCAUUGGGCGUAAAGAGCGUGUAGGCGGUCCGGUAAGUCCGCUCUGAAAGUCCAGGGCUCAACCCUGGAAUGCGGGUGGAUACUGCCGGGCUAGAGUCCGGAAGAGGCGAGUGGAAUUCCUGGUGUAGCGGUGGAAUGCGCAGAUAUCAGGAGGAACACCAAUAGCGAAGGCAGCUCGCUGGGACGGUACUGACGCUAAGGCGCGAAAGCGUGGGGAGCAAACAGG
rnacentral:rRNA from 1 species